rnacentral:rRNA from 1 species
GUUUGAUCCUGGCUCAGGACGAACGCUGGCGGCGUGCUUAACACAUGCAAGUCGAACGAGAGUUUUUAACUCUAGUGGCGGACGGGUGAGUAACACGUGAGAAUCUACCCUAAGGAGGGGAAUAACAGCUGGAAACGGUUGCUAAUACCCCAUAUGCCGAAAGGUAAAAGGAUUUAUCCACCUUAGGAAGAGCUCGCGCCUGAUUAGCUAGUUGGUGGGGUAAAGGCCCACCAAGGCCAUGAUCAGUAGCUGGUUUGAGAGGACGAUCAGCCACACUGGGACUGAGACACGGCCCAGACUCCUACGGGAGGCAGCAGUGGGGAAUUUUGGACAAUGGGCGCAAGCCUGAUCCAGCCAUGCCGCGUGCGGGAAGAAGGCCUUCGGGUUGUAAACCGCUUUUGUCAGGGAAGAAAAGGUUCUGGCUAAUACCUGGGACUCAUGACGGUACCUGAAGAAUAAGCACCGGCUAACUACGUGCCAGCAGCCGCGGUAAUACGUAGGGUGCAAGCGUUAAUCGGAAUUACUGGGCGUAAAGCGUGCGCAGGCGGUUAUGCAAGACAGAGGUGAAAUCCCCGGGCUCAACCUGGGAACUGCCUUUGUGACUGCAUGGCUAGAGUACGGUAGAGGGGGAUGGAAUUCCGCGUGUAGCAGUGAAAUGCGUAGAUAUGCGGAGGAACACCGAUGGCGAAGGCAGGUCUCUGGGCUGUAACUGACGCUGAGGAGCGAAAGCAUGGGGAGCGAACAGGAUUAGAUACCCUGGUAGU